CGAGAAGGCAUUGCCUUCUACACUUACCGCAAUGGUGACAUGCCUUCCCAGCAGUCGACGGAUUCCGCCAACGGACUUGCGGGUGUUUGGUCAUUCUGCGGAAAUACCUAGCCACCACCUCUAUCCUGCUCAGUUGCAAAGGAAGGGGAGAGGGAGGUCAUGAUCCCUGGCAAGCAGCCAUGGACAACCUUGAAUGGAAGAAGCUGUGCCAGGGGAAGCAGGUCCCACGCCUCUAAAGCAGUGACACUACCCAAUGACCAGCACAAGAGUGGACCCCACAAUAUUAUGUCAGAGUGGGGAAGAGGUUCAUGAUGCCCUGUCCCUCCCUGAGGAUCUGCAGGCAGGCAAUUAAGGAGUUGCUGAGGGAAGGAGGGAUUUUCUUCAAUAGAAUAGCCAUUGGUCAACUGUCCAUACUGCUGUAACAUUUUUAGUGUUUUGUGUUUAUGUGUACCACAAGCUUGCAGGAGCGCACAUAGUUCAGGGGAUGGCAUCAGACCCUUAGAGACUGAAUUACAAAUGAUUAUGUGCUGUCAUGUAGGCAGCAGGGACCAAGCCCCAGUCCUCUGCCAAGAGCAGUAAGCUCUCCUAACCUGAGUCCUCCCCAGCCCCUGCUCCAGGACCUUUAAGCCCACUGAUUCACCAAAGUUCCAUUACCAGCCUUGAAAAGUCAACAUCCACAGUCAUGGUGGCAGCUUGGCAAACCUGACAGGGGAGAAUGGAUACAGAGGGCCUUCAAAACCCAGGCACAGAAAACUCAUUACUUCCUCCUAUCUGGAGACUUUCUUCUCAAAAUUCCUCAAGGCUUACAUACAUUCUUUUCAGGAUUCUUUUUGCAAAGACUCCUAGAGCAAAUCUGCACUAACAGCUGUCACAAUUCUACCUUCAACUCCGUGUUUCCUUUCACUGGAAAUGCAGUUAAGUCCAUUUGAAGCAUGGCAGUCACCAGAAGCAUGUACCUAGUUUAUAUGACAAAUAGAGUAAUGCUGUAUUACAGUGGAGCCAUGCUCUUCCUAUUUGGACAACAGUAGCAACAGAAAUUGGAACAGAAACUGUUCCUGGAGUUAUUCAAAGUUGCAGAGAUAUGGUGAAUCAGGCCAACCAAUGUAGGAACGGUUUCAAAAUCAACUCAACUCAUGCCAAGUGAAAGUAUUCUAUGUCCAUUCAAACACAGCAUGUUACAGAAAUAAAUUACAUGUGUACUCUGAGGUGCUCUACAUGAGAUGUUUGCCCCAUGUCUCAAGCAUUUAAAUACCUGAUUCCAAUUGUUGGCUGCCUGGGGAGGCUUAGGAGGUGUGGCUUUGAUGGAGAAGUGCGUCACUGUCAACUUUGAGAUUUAAAAACCUUACCUCUGGCCAUCCCUGAUUCACUCUCUGCUUCCUGUUUGUGGCUCAAGAUGUAAGCUCUCAGCUCUCUGGUUGCUGCCAAACUUCUAUGCCAUGAGAAUGAUAGGCUCCUGAAACCAAAAGCCCCAAAUAAACUCUUCCCUACUGUAAGAUGCCUUGGUCAUGGUGUUUUAUUGCAGCAUCCAAUAUCAAACAGAUACUACUCCCAAUCUUGUAGAGCAUGUGUCAGGAUCUAGUGUUCAAGAAACUACACCUAGCCACACACAUUAACGACAAUGAAUUGUCUUGCCUCCAUUUGCCGUCCCAUUUAGCAGUUUGGUUUCAAAAAGCCAAUAUUCUUUCUUGAAUUUAAAAAAAUUAAAAAAUUAAAAAAAUUUGCUUCUCUAGUAAACUUAGGGUAUACCCACAAAGAAAAUUUUAAAUCAAACCCAGAAAUUCAGAAAGCUAGCCAGGCCUCGAGUUCAAGGUCAGCCUGGGAGAUAGUGAAGCCCAAGCCACCUUAGGUGCUAUAGUGUAAGAACAUCUCUAAAAACAACCUGACAAAUGGAGCAUGCUUUUACGCAGAAAAUCCAUAAAAAGUACUGUUUUAAGUUACUAACAAUAUGACACAUCCUUUUUUACAAAUGUUUAUUUCCCUAUCAAAGAUUUUUGUUAAGUCUGCAAUUUGUCAGAAUGUUCCAAUUUAAACCAGGCAUAGUGGUACACAUCUUUAGUCCCAGCACUAAAAAAAA